rnacentral:rRNA from 1 species
AUUGAACGCUGGCGGCAUGCUUUACACAUGCAAGUCGAACGGCAGCGCGGGCUUCGGCCUGGCGGCGAGUGGCGAACGGGUGAGUAAUGCAUCGGAACGUGCCCAGUAGUGGGGGAUAGCCCGUCGAAAGCCGGAUUAAUACCGCAUACGACCUGAUGGUGCAAGCGGGGGACCGAAAGGCCUCGCGCUAUUGGAGCGGCCGAUGUCGGAUUAGCUAGUUGGUGGGGUAAAGGCUUACCAAGGCGACGAUCCGUAGCUGGUCUGAGAGGACGACAAGCCACACUGGGACUGAGACACGGCCCAGACUCCUACGGGAGGCAGCAGUGGGGAAUUUUGGACAAUGGGGGCAAACCUGAUCCAGCCAUGCCGCGUGCGGGAAGAAGGCCUUCGGGUUGUAAACCGCUUUUGUUCGGGAAGAAAUCCUCUGGGCUAAUACCCCGGGGGGAUGACGGUACCGGAAGAAUAAGCACCGGCUAACUACGUG